rnacentral:lncRNA from 1 species
UAAGAAAAGGUGGAACUCAAGAGAUCUGGCUUGGAAAUCUAACUCGUUGUGUAAUAAAAUAACCCUGCUUUAAGCAAAAUUCGACACUUUCCUGAUGCAUUAGGGACCUAAUUGAAAACAUUGAUAGUUUGGGAUCUAAUCGAAGAUCAGUUCAUAGUCGGUUACUAAAUUGAGAUUUUCUAUGAAACUAUAAAGGGGAGAUUAUUUGUCCGUUUAGUGUCGUGCCCAGUUCGAGCAACAGGGGAUUCUGAACUGAGAGGUUCGUUUGCCCUUUCUUUUUGUUGGGUUUCGGAUGAAAUUCCUGUUUUUUUUUUAGUCGUUUUUAUACUCUUUUCAGUUUUUUAUAUUUAUAAUCUUAGAUUAUGUUUCUUUUCUUUAAAUUUUUACUCUUUUUUAUCUAGUUUCUAUUCUUUUAAAUUUGAUCUAUAAGGGAUAAAUCAUUGAAUUGAGUGGUAUUUUUGCUUUUUAGAUAUAGAAGAGGAAGAAGAUGGAAGCAGAGUUGAUAAAUGCAGAGCUGGUGUUGCCAACACACUUCAGUUUCAAGAGGAUACAGAUAUAUGAGAAAUACCCAAAGGGACAACCAAGAGGCCGUUGGAAACACCU